GAUGAACGCUGGCGGCGUGCCUAAUACAUGCAUGUCGAGCGAACGGACGAGAAGCUUGCUUCUCUGAUGUUAGCGGCGGACGGGUGAGUAACACGUGGAUAACCUACCUAUAAGACUGGGAUAACUUCGGGAAACCGUAGCUAAUACCGGAUAAUAUUUUGAACCGCAUGGUUCAAAAGUGAAAGACGGUCGUGCUGUCACUUAUAGAUGGAUCCGCGCUUCAUUAGCUAGUUGGUAAGGUAACGGCUUACCAAGGCAACGAUGCAUAGCCGACCUGAGAGGGUGAUCGGCCACACUGGAACUGAGACACGGUCCAGACUCCUACGGGAGGCAGCAGUAGGGAAUCUUCCGCAAUGGGCGAAAGCCUGACGGAGCAACGCCGCGUGAGUGAUGAAGGUCUUCGGAUCGUAAAACUCUGUUAUUAGGGAAGAACAUAUGUGUAAGUAACUGUGCACAUCUUGACGGUACCUAAUCAGAAAGCCACGGCUAACUACGUG
rnacentral:rRNA from 1 species